GAGGAAUAUUGGACAAUGGGCGCAAGCCUGAUCCAGCCAUGCCGCGUGAGUGAAGAAGGCCCUCGGGUUGUAAAGCUCUUUUGUCCGGAAAGAAAAGCAUCGGGUUAAUACCCCGGUGUUCUGACGGUACCGGAAGAAUAAGCACCGGCUAACUUCGUGCCAGCAGCCGCGGUAAUACGAAGGGUGCAAGCGUUACUCGGAAUUACUGGGCGUAAAGCGUGCGUAGGUGGUUCGUUAAGUCUGAUGUGAAAGCCCUGGGCUCAACCUGGGAAUGGCAUUGGAAACUGGCGGACUGGAGUGCGGUAGAGGGUAGCGGAAUUCCCGGUGUAGCAGUGAAAUGCGUAGAGAUCGGGAGGAACAUCCGUGGCGAAGGCGGCUACCUGGACCAGCACUGACACUGAGGCACGAAAGCGUGGGGAGCAAAC
rnacentral:rRNA from 1 species